rnacentral:lncRNA from 1 species
UCAACUCAUUUAAUUUCUGGCUACAUUUUUAUGUCAAUUCUAGCCAUUCAUAUUAAUUUUGAUCCUAUUUUGUAAUUUUUAAUUUCAGCCGUUGAUCAAAUUAAAGUUGAUCUGACGAUUGAGAUUAAAUAUUCCCAUUUCUUUCAUUUUAAACAACAAACCUCAACCCUAAUCCCAUUUUUGAACAAAAUCAGUCGCCUCCCUCCACAUUUUCUCUCUCUACUCAGUCUACCGCGACCACCGACGAACUCCUGUCGCUGCCGCCAUCCAAGCCUCACUUGUCUACUGCUUCGCCUCACCACCGACUAGCCGCCGCCGGUGGGUCUCUUUCUUUUCCCCACUGCUCCAACUUUCCAGCCAUGCAGCCGCCACCCUUCACUCACCUUCCUCUCUUCCUCCUCCGCUCCGGCGAACCACGCCGCCAUGUAUCCGGCGACCACCACACCUCCGAUCAGCUUCGCCUCCCAUCAUUGUUGCUUCACCGGAGGUGAUGACCGGUGAAGCUCUAUUAAUGAUAGCAGGACCUCACCAUCGCCACUGCGACGACACAGUAGACAUGCAGCCGGCGACCACCGCCGCUGCGUUGUGUUUAAGCUUCCGUCUCCGUUCCCGAUCUGGCCGGAGCAACUUUUUCGGAGCAACAUUGACCAAAAUAACUGUCAGUUCUAUCUUUACUCUUUCUACUUCAAUUGUUGUAGGAAUUGCCUUUGAUAUGCUAAUUGGUUAUCCCUAGUUAUACAUGUAAACAAAUUCCUUUCUGGUGAAGGUUAAUAGGGAUGUUAAAUUUCUGGCUUUGCAUGACUACUCUUGAUUAUUUUGAUUAGGUUCAUUGAAAUAGUUUGACUGGCCUUCGAUGACCCUUAAUUGGUCAUUGCAUUUGUUUCCUGUUUAGCACAUGGAUCGAUUUUGAUUUUUGUCUACUGCUUAGUGACACCAUUCUUUUCAUGUAUUUGAACUUAUGGUUGUUCAUCUGUGAUAAUCCCCAACUAAUCUCAUGCCUUAUUUACUGAUUUUCAUAUUACAUAAUUUUAUACUCUUAAUCAAUUAUAAGGAAAUGAACCCCUUUCGACGGAGUCUGACUUAAUGAUAUAUGAUUUGCUUGCUGUAGUAAUUUCUUGAUUGAGGGUUUUGAAUAUUUUCUACCUUUUUAUUUUCUUGAUUGAUUGUCUUGCCUUUUUCUUAAUUUAGACAACUUUUCUAUUAAUCUAUUUUUGGCAGUUUCAGCCUAAUUUGUGAUACUAUCUUAAUUCAGUCUAUUAAUUUAUGGGAAAUGACUUGAAAGUGAUUAAGUGUAGAUACUUGAAAUGUGAAUUUUUGUAUUGAAUGUAGUUUAGUUUGGUAACUUGGGAGGUGACUUAGUGACUUGAAGAUGUUGAAAAUGUGAAUUUUUCAUUAUGAAUAUAGUUUAGUUUGGUAACGUUGGAGUUGACUUAGUGACUUGAAAGUGAUUAAGUGUAGGUACUUGAAAUGUCAAUUUUUCAUUUUGAAUUUUGUUAAGCUUGGUAACUUGGGAGGUGACUUAGUGACUUUAAAGUGAUUAAGUGUAGGUACUUGAAAUGUGAAUUUUUAUAUUGAAUGUAGUUUAGUUUGGACUUGGGAGGUGACUUAGUGACUUAAAAAUGUGAAUUUUACUAUAAUUUCCAGAAUAUCAACCUCAUGUGGUUAGUUUACUAUAAUUAAUUAAAAUUGAUUUUAUUAAAUAAAUUAUUAAAUAAAAAACCGACUACUAGUGGUCGAUUUUGUCUUGAAAUUAAUUAAUUAAUUUUCACAAAAGCUUUUGAAAUUUAUUUUUAUCAAAUUUAUUGGUCGCUUUUGUUUAAAAAAAUUUUUGUAUAAAAAAAUAAUAUUGAAUUUUAAAUAUAUAUAUAUUUAAAAAAAACCGACCACAUGUGGUCGGUUUUAAAAAAGCUACCACACUUUUUCCGACCACGCGUUUUGGUCAACUUUGUGGUCGUAAAAGCAGGAAAACCGAUCACAUGUGGUCGGUUUUUCUGUUUUUUUAGUACUGAUGACUGCACUGUUGUGUUUCCUAGAAUUGAUGCUAACGCGGAACAUAAAUUUUGAAGGUGUCAUAUGAUCAUUUUAUAAGUCGGAAUGUUCAACUGACACAAUGAAAACCAAUUUGAGUGUGUAGUUGAGCAUAAUCAAAGUUGUACUUACUUGCCGACUGUGCCAAGUUUGAAUUCCUGUUUAUUCAUGUAUUGUGUCAAUUGUUUCGAUGAUUAACAAAUAAUGGUUGAUGAAACAGUUCAUAUUUGUUAUACAAAAAUAAACAAACUAAACGUCGAUGUCAAGCAACACUAAGGUCAGGAUAAAGCUACUUGCCUUCUGCAAAGCUCCACAACUACAUUAUAUGGUAUUGUUAAAUCAUCCUUAGGUAUGUAGAAAAAUUCUCAUUUUGUGUGUAAUGUCCGAUUUGGUGUGAACGUGUCAUUACCUAUACCUUUUUUUAUUUUUUUAUAGUAGUUCUAUCUAUACCUUAUUUUUUUUGUAAGGUUUAUUCUUCAAAUUGUUGAUUUGUGAUAUUAUUUAAUGACGAAAAGUAAUACUCCUACAAUUUUUUCAAACAUUACAUUUAGUAAAAUGAUAUAGCACCACAGAAACAACACACAAUAUGAAUACAUUAUGAAACCACACGUGAUAACCUUCCAAACAAAGUGUUAGUGUUGGGCUGAAAUUUGUUUUGAUCAGGAUAAAGCGGAGAGCAGGAAUUAGGAGUUUUAAAUUUUGUUCAGGGAUAGCUACUUGCCUGCUUCUGCAAAGCUCAACAACCACAUUCUCCGGCCUAACAGCACGAAUGACCCUUUCAACGUCCACAGCUGAUUCCAUAGAAAGAUGGUACGUUCCAAUCAGCCAAAUGGCCUCUGGUUCCACAAAGUCACUU